rnacentral:lncRNA from 1 species
UUUUUUUUCUCUUUUGCAAUUCAUUUCCCCUCUUCCUCAAAUAGUAGUUUUUGCUUAGGAUAGGAAAAUGAUCCUACUCUAGUACACAGUGAUCUCAAGAACAUUUACUAAAAAUGUAUUAAGCCAAAAUUAAGAUGAUUUCUGAUAUAUCAGUUUUCCAAGAGAAGUAAUAUAAUAUCAAAGCUUAAAAUAACUAUAGAGCUGAAUAAUUCAUUUCCAGUUUAAGCUUUAUCUAGAAGUUUCUUAAACCCUACAUGAAUCUCACUAUUCAUAUGGUCUGUUGAAAUUCUCAGACACAUUCACAAUCUCACAUGGAAGUGUUGUGACCAUGCUUUUUUAAGGCUUCUAAUAAAAAAUCUAUCUAAAAAGAUAUAAGAACUUAAAUGAAUGCAGCCCUUAAACCAAGAAAUUUCCCACCUAUCGUCUCAUUUGAUUCUUACAGGAAUCUUGUGAUAUACAUUAUGAUAAGUAUUUUACUCAUAUUUUAAUGAUGGGAACUUAGGAACAAAAAGAGCAAGUGAUUAUCCUUUUUGUCUUUGAUGCUUGCCAGAAAACCUAAUGUCUUCCUUUGCAGACAAGGCUAUUGCUCUCCACUAUGUCUAACAAAUAUGUUUGUCAGUUAUCUUUUGGAAAAAAAAAAGGAAUUAAAUGGAUAUCUAAAUGGAAGCCAUUCUUUAUUUAUUUGGGUUUGUUCUAAAGAGUCAGAACUGUGAUAUAAGAAGGGAGGAAGUUACUCUGAGCUGGUACGAAGCUUGUGCCUUCUAAGUACAGGGAUCUUUCCGCUUAUAUUUUUCAUAUAAUUUUCUUAAUGUUAACUAUAAUUAUAUUAAGACAAUUUUAGAUGUAGAUCUUACAAUUCUUAAAUGACUUCUAUCCUGUUUCUCUUUGAACUUGAGAUUCAAAUAUUACCUCUCUUUUGAAUUAAUUAUCAGGAAAGAAGAAAGCUCAGAAUCUUAGUGUUAAUUGCCCAUUUUUAAUAGAAGUAUCAUUGAUGUACAAUAUUAUAUGUCACAGGUAUACAAUAUGGUGAUUCACAAUUUUAAAAGUUAUGCUCAAUUUAUAGUUAUUAUAAAAUAUUGGCUAUGUUCCCUGUGUUGUGCAAUAUAUGCUUAUAGCUUAUUUUAUACACGAUAGUUUGUACCUCUUAAUACUCUCCCCUUACACUGCUUUUCACUCCUUCUCUCCCCCGAGUGGUAAACAGUAGUUUGUUCUCUGUAUCUGUGAGUCUGUUUCUUUUUCAUUAUAUUCACUAAUUUGUUGUAUUUUUUAGAUUCCACAUGUAAGUGAUCUCAUACAGUAUUUCUCUAACUUAUUUCACUUAGCAUAAUACCCUCCCAGUCCAUCUAUGUUGUUGCAAGUGGCAACAUUUCAUCCUUUUAUAUCGCUGAGCAGUAUUCCAUUUUGUAUACUUACCACAUCAUUUUUAUCCAUGCAUUGCUGUUAAUAGUUUUAAAUAUAAAAAAGAAAAAAGCUAACAGAAAUAACAAGAAAUUGAUCUUUCAGCAGCAGUGUUGAGCUAAUAUGAACACAGGAAUGUUUAGGGAAUGCUGAUAGUUUCUGCAUUUGUGUAAGUUGUGGAGGCUAAAAGGCUAAAUUUACCAGCCAUUAAGUUAAACUUUCCACAUUUUUGAAACCACUCCUAUAUACUCAUGAAUUGGAGAUACUGUGAACUUCUGGACAUAAAAAAGCUAGACUGGAUAUCAACUUGGACUACAGUCAAAAGUCUGGCACUAACUAGCUUUGUAACUUUGAGCUAUUUAAAAAAGCUUCUAGGUAAUAAUUUCAUUGGAAAAUAUAUAGAAAAUAGGCUAUAUUAUCUUUAAUAUUUCAGUCAGCUAUAAAGUUCUUUUCUAUUUGACUAAAAUUUUGUAAUAGUCUGUCUUACUUAAUUUAGGAGUAAUCGGGCAGUCAAGAAGAAAAGUUGUAUCCAGUUUUCUCUUCUCUCCAUCCUGUAAUGUCCCUAACAGUUUUAUUUUAUUCUAAAAAUGACAUUACAGAAAAAAAUUAUUUUCAUAGCUCAGGUAUUUUAAAAAUCAGCCAGAAGUCAUUGAUUUGAAAUUAUACGUGAUAGAUGAGAAUAUUUGCUAAGGGCAAGAAUUCUUUAAUUUUUUUAAAAAAGUAGCUAUAACACAUUCCUUUUAAAGGACAUAGCUGUUACAUUACAUCUAAAGUGGAUCCUUAGCCUUUUGCUUUAUUGUCCUGGUCAGUUAAAACUGAAAGGAGGUUUAAUUAAAAUGAUUGAGAAUUAGCUUAAGCUAGGGAGAAUGAUUUUGAAAUGGACAUAUAAUAUUAAUAUAUUUUGUAUUUUUAAAACCACAUUUCUACUUUAGUAGGCAGCUAUUUUAAACUAACAGAAAAACACAGUGCAUAAUUAAAAGAAAUAGCAUUCAGUAGACAUAACAGCUUGGUGUUUUACCCAUUUCCUGUUAGCUCAGAUUUAUUCCAUCUUGUUUAUUUUGGAGAUGAUUAUUAAGUAAAUGCACAAUGAAAUAAAUAACAUAUAAACUUUAAGAAUUAUUGAAUUUACUUAAAGCUAUUGACUAUUAAUGAUGAUUAAUUAGGUGUAUAAAAUCCAAACCACACACAUUUUUAGCAAUGAUUUAAAAUUAAGUUACUAAACAAAUACACAUAAAAUACUAUUUAAUGAACAGUAGAACUUCAUAGAAAAAAAGGGAGCAUGUUUAUAUCUUUACUGAGUAACUCUGUUUAUCAUUUUUAGAGAAUCAGAAAAGGGGAAAGGUAGAGUGAGUAAAAUUAAUGGGAUGUAGAAAGGUCAAGAAGCACUAACAUGGUAAACAGUAUCAAAUUAAUUUGCUAUUCACCAAAAAUUCCUAAGAUAAAAAUAAAAUCCUAAUUUAGAUACACCUACUAAUUUUAAACUCUGUAACUGUAUAUCUAAUUGUUUCAAGUCCUUUCUACCACCAUACACCUAUGAUCAUAGUUAAAAUUGAAAAGAAAAAUGCCCUGGGAGUUCCUGUUGUGGUUCAGCGGGUUAAGAAUCUGACUAGUACCCGUGAGAUGCAGGUUUGAUCCCUGGCCUUUCACAGUAGGUUAAAGUAUCAGUGAGCUGUGGUGCAAGUCACAGAUGCAGCUCAGAUCUGAUCUGCUGUGGCUGUUCUGUAGGCUGGCAGCUACAGAUCUUUGAAAUAUAACUUGGUAGUUUCUUAAAAAUAUACCUAUUGUAUGAUAUAUAUGUUAUAUGAUACAGCUAUCUCACACUAAGGUAUUUACUCCCAAAGAAGAGAAAGCAUAUGUUCAUUCAAAGACUUGUACACAAAUGACUAUUUUCAUAAUAGCAAAGCAACUGGAAACAAUCUAAAUGCCUAUCAAGAGGAAGAAACUGUAGGACACUCAAAACUGAACCAGAAGGUCCUUGUGCUGACUGAAAAGAAGUCAGAAAAAACAAGUAAGUAGCAUGUAAUUCCAUUUAUGUAGAAUUAAAAAAUGUGGAAACAAAACAGAUAGCUUUGUGACAGAAGGCAGGGAAGUGGUGAUGAAGGAUGGGGGGAGUAAGAGAUGGUUAAGGGGUACAAGAAGUCUUUUGAUAAAAAUAAUAAAAAUGUUCAGUAUUUUGAGUAUGGUAGUGGUUUCAAAUUUGUAUACAUUUCUCAAAACUCAUCUAAUUUAUAUUUUAAAUAUGUGCAGCAAAUUUUUUAUGUUAUACCUAAAGUUAUAAAAAAAGACAUCUUCAUUUCUUCUUUAAUUAAACACUACCAUAAUUAAACUGUCAAUGCUGCCUCAUAUCCAUAAUAACAGUCUGUGUGCCUUUCCUCCUAUUUCUUAUUUUCUAAAGGCACCAUAUUGAAGAUGGUAUAAAAUCACCUACUUUAUAUUUCUAAUGGUUUCUUAAAUUGUAGAGAGCAUUCCCCAUUCAAUCAAAGUUUAAGACAACUUUAAACUUAAUGUCUUAGUACCUAUCAGAUAAUAGAUCAGUAAAAUUUUAUAUAGGGAAAUAAAGUGCCAUUCCAUUGGAAACAAUGACUGCUAUGAAUUGCUUAAUUACUUCUUGAUACGCAUAUAUCAUUGUCCAUUUGUCCCUAACUUCUCUUUAAUGUGAACUGCAAUCUUACCACAGAAUAGCUUUAGCACCUAUGCCACAGCAGGCGACUCUACAUUACAGAAAAAUAAUUGGGCUUUCUUAGCCUCUAACUGCAUUUGACAGGCCUUAAGAUAGAAAUACUUUAUAUAGCAUCACGAAGUUGAUAUUGUUACAGAUGGUUCUAAAAGGAACUCCUUCUUAUUCCUUUUCAGUUAUUUACUGAAUUGAACUUUUUCUUAGGGUCUCACAGUGACUCCAUCAACUUCUGAAUACCAGAUUUUAUUCUAUCUUCAGUUAUACUGACUGUAAUACCCAGUUUCCUCUCCUGUCAACUUGUUCAUUUUCACUCUAGGCCAAAGUCAAUAAUUAGCUUACACAACAUAAAGAAUAGGUGACUUCUAUCUGCCUUGCUGACUCUAUUUUUCUUAUUACAGUAGAAUAAUGCAGAGCUCGUAACAUCUCCUGGACUGUUGGUAGGUAGUCUGACAUAACGCUUUCAACCACCUCAUGUUCAUAAAAUGUAUGGACUAAAGUUUUGUAGUAAUGGUACAGUCAUAAAAAUAGUGGAAAAAGAGCAGGAAUUUUGGUGGCUCACCAAAAUUAAAACAACACAGCAACAUGGCAAUAGCAAACAGCAAUUGUGAAAGUAUCUUUGGGCUAGUCAUUUUAUACACAUUUGGUUCAGUUUCCUCAGAUUAGAAAAGAGAAUAAAAUAAUGUGAACUUAGUUCAUGUAUAUGUAGAAAUAAGAUUGAGUUAGUAGAUAUUCAGCACCAAGAAGAUACCUGAUACAAAAUGGGGGUACAAUAAAUAUUAGCUGCUAUUAUUAAUAGCUGCUAAUGUUAUUAGUUAAAUAUAAAAUAUAUGCACUACCUAAAUUCCCCCCAAAUUUUGUUUUUAAUUGUAAUGAUUAUGUCAAAUUGGACUUAGGCUAAAGAUAUUUCAUGCUUUUGUUUAUAUUGUAAAUCCUGAAAAAGUUUUAUCAUCAAACAUAAAAUAAAAUUAUUCCAUCCCAUGUUUAGCAAGAAUGUUACAAAGCAAAGCAAUGAAUUGCUGUUGGACAUAAAAACUGCAACUGUAUCACAGGGGAGAAAUUUUGAUGUUUGUAACAAAAUGGGGUGUGUGUGUAUAAAUCGGUGACUCCAAUAUUUACCGAGAAAAUAUAUCAUUGUUUAUAAAGAUAAAAAACAUAAAUGCUGAUGUAUACUACCGUUGAUUAGAUACAAACAUGAAAAAUAAUACAUGAAUACAUAUUUUUAAAAAGAAAUAAAAGGAGAUUAUAAUACAACUUGCCUAUUUCUAUGUAGAUUUUAAAGAAAGUUUAUGAAUCUUCAUAAACUGAAUAUGUUUUCUUGAUAUUAGUAUUUUGGUAAGUUCACUUGCCACUUUUUGCUUAUAAGAAUUAUAGAUUAGAAAAAAUAAAAAAAGAAUAAACCUUAAAUUGUUUUAUUUAUCAUUUUCUCUUCCAAUUAUUUUCUGAUUUUUGUAUACGUCUCUAUAAACAAAGGGUAGAUAAGCUACAAUUUAGACAUUUUUAUAAAAUCUAGAUUUAAAUAAUUUAAAGAGAUAGGUGACUUCUUUUAGAGUGAAUGUUGAUUCUCCCAUAGAUAAUUUCAAAUGACAAUUGUCAGUUGCAUCAACUGAAAAAGAAAUAGUACCAACUCCUUAUGGUUGAUUAGAGGAAUUACCUGUUUUCACAUUUACACUCCAUUCCCUUCCAUCACGAAUGGGGAAAAUCAAGAUAACUGAUUCCAAUCCCACAGAGAAACAGAUCAGCUACUAUGUAAAAGUAUGACUUCUAGGAGUUAUCUGACGGCUCAGAGGAUUCAGGAUCUGACAUUGUCAUGGAUCACUGCUGUGGUGUGGGUUCUAUUCCUAGCCUGGGAACUUCCGCAUA